rnacentral:rRNA from 1 species
UGUCUAAGUAUAAACUCGUUUGUACUGUGUGAAACUGCGAAUGGCUCAUUAAAUCAGUUAUAGUUUAUUUGAUAUAACCUUACUACUUGGAUAUCCGUGGUAAUUCUAGAGCUAAUACAUGCAAUUAAAAUCCUGACUUCUGGAAGGGAUGUAUUUAUUAGAUAAAAAACCAACCCGGCAACGGUUCUUUGGUGAUUCAUAGUAACUUUUCGAAUCGCAUGACUUUACGUCGGCGAUGGUUCAUUCAAAUUUCUGCCCUAUCAAGUUUCGAUGGUAGGAUAGAGGCCUACCAUGCUUUUUACGGGUAACGGCGAAUUAGGGUUCGAUUCCGGAGAGGGAGCCUGAGAAACGGCUACCACAUCUAAGGAAGGCAGCAGGCGCGCAAAUUACCCAAUCCUGAUUCAGGGAGGUAGUGACAAUAAAUAACAAUCCAGGGCUUUUGUCUUGGAAUUGGAAUGAGAACAAUUUAAAUCUCUUAACGAGGAACAAUUGGAGGGCAAGUCUGGUGCCAGCAGCCGCGGUAAUUCCAGCUCCAAUAGCGUAUAUUAAAGUUGUUGCAGUUAAAUAGCUCGUAGUUGAAUCUUGGGCCUGGUUUGGCGGUCGCGCUUUAGGGCGUGUACUGUCGGCCGGGUCUUUUACUUGCGGGGAACGUGCGUGCCUCUCGGGGUGUGUACGGGAACCGUGGCUAUUACUUUGAAAAAAUUAGAGUGUUUAAAGCAGGCGUAAGCUUGUAUACAUUAGCAUGGAAUAAUAGAAUAGGACUUUGGUUUUAUUUUGUUGGUUUCUAGGGCCGAAGUAAUGAUUAAUAGGGAUAGUUGGGGGCAUUAGUAUUUAAUAGUCAGAGGUGAAAUUCUUGGAUUUAUGAAAGACUAACUUCUGCGAAAGCAUUUGCCAAGGAUGUUUUCAUUAAUCAAGAACGAAAGUCAGGGGAUCGAAGAUGAUCAGAUACCGUCGUAGUCCUGACCGUAAACUAUGCCGACUAGGGAUCGGGCGUUGUAUUUCAUGACACGCUCGGCACCUUAUGAGAAAUC